CCCAACAAUAUGCUUGAGGCAAACAUUCAUCAAAGUUAGCCAAGCGUUUGAAUAUGCAAAUAAUAAUGUUUACUCGAAACAAACAAUGCAGAAUAGUACGCCUAUUUUUCGGCCUUUCCAGCGGGACUUAACGAUAAACGAAUCUAAUCGAAUUUUAUAACAAUAAAAAUACAGCAAAAUUAUAAGAGUUCUUAUCACAGAAAUGAUAAUCUUGUGAGUUUUCGCAGCUAUUUAAGAAAUUAUCACAUAUUUUGAAAGAUGGUCUAGCCAUUGGAUCAGUCUGCCUUUGUGCCUUCUUCUAAUCCUAAACGCUUGAACUUAUCCACACCAGACCGCACCCAACACAACCAGACGAGCAAAGCAAUCAAAGAUUAAGCAGCGAAGAAAUGAAUGCACAACGAAGUUCAAAUGCUCUUCUAAUAAAAGUUCGAGUCAAAAGCAAAAUAAAGAUAAGUUAAGGAACAAACGUGACGGUAUUUCCCAGACAUUACACAACUUAUAGCCCCAAUACCAAUACAACGAAUAGCAAUUAGCACACAUAAAUAUGUAUGUAAUCGCGAGACAAAUUUCUGACAGCCAUGAAAGUGAAAUUGAAAAUAAAGACCAUAAAUUUA
rnacentral:sRNA from 1 species